CAGAGGAAGACUGAAGUAGGUUCAUGGCGUCUGCCAGGAUUGCCAAUAUCCAAAGCGAAUUCAAAGGCAGAAGAUACCCUGAUGGGGUGUAUUUUAGCGAAUAGAGUUGAAGAAGCACACCAGUUAUUUUGUAUGGCUUUGGGGACUAUGAGAAGUGCUUUAACUCAAUGGAAAUAAAAGCAUUGUGGAAACACUGGAUAAGAAAGGAGCAGAAGCCCCAUAGUUUCUGAGUACCCUAAAACAUCUAGGUGGAUAGCACAAUAAUAUUUAAGCAUGAGAAAUAGAGUGCAAAGAUCAUUCUGAAGUGUGAAAUUAACAGACUCUUCACCUUCUGCCUGGAGAAAACUUUCAAGGUUUUCAAGACUAAAGAAAAGGACUCAAGCACCUGAACCACCUCAGCUUUGCAGAUGACACAUCUUUGCUGAAGCUAAAGACCUUGAAGCAAAUAGGAAGGAACUCAAGAUGGAGGAAUGUGGACGUCAGAUCCUUUUGCAAAAGACCCAAAUCCUAUUCAUUGCAAAGACAGAAGGAAAAAAAGAUCACAGUGGGUAGGAAACAAUUGGAAGCUGUAAAGGAAUAUGUCUGUAUAGUCCACAAAAUAGAUAAUAUUCCAAACCAGGAAAAUGCGAGGAGAAGAAUCAAGCCUAGAUAUGUGGAGUCGUUAGGAAACUGACAGGAUAAUAAAGAACAGGCUCAGAUAAGGGUCUGUGCAAGUCCAAAGUAAUAUUAUUUUAAAAAGAGAACAAACAAGCUCUGUCUAAAAAAAAUUAAAAAAAAGAUAGAUUGACGUGUGUACUGUCACCUUUGGCAGAUAGAGAGCAUAGUCACAGUAGAAAUUAGUGGGAUGACUGGGAAGUAACAAAAGGCAGCAACAGUCAAUAGGGUCUGUUCAGUAGGGGAGAAUCUUUGUAUUGUAAUAACAGCAAAACAAAGAAACACAGGCAAAAAAGAGAAACAAGAGAUUUUUAAAAAAUUAAAAAUCUUUGUCAAGAGAUUAAAAAAAUUAAUUGUGAUUAAUCGUGCUGCUAAACAAUAAGAGAAUACCAUUUAUUUAAAUAUUUGUGGAUGUUUUCUACAUUUUCAAAUAUAUUGAUUUCAGUUACAACACGGAAUACAAAGUGUAGAGUGCUCAUGUUGUAUUUAUUUUUUAUUACAAAUAUUUGCACUGUUAAAAAAAAAGAUAGUAUUUUUCAAUUCACCAAAUACAAGUACUUUAGUGUAAUCUCUUUAUCAUGAAAGUUGAACUUACAAAUGUAGAAUGAUGUACAAAAAUAUUUAAAAAUAAAACAAUAUAAAACUUUAGAGCCUACAAGUCCACUCAGUCCUACUUCUUGUUCAGCCAAUUGCUCAAACAAGUUUGUUUACAUUUGCAGGAGAUAAUGUCAUCCGCUUCUUGUUUACAAUGUCACCUGAAAGUGAGAACAGGCGUUCGCAUGGCACUGUUGUAGCCGGUGUCACAAGAUAGUUAUGUGCCAGAUGCGCUAAAGAUUCAUAUGUCCCUUCAUGCUUCAACCACCAUUCCAGAGGACUGCCUGGUCCCAGCUCCUGAAGGGAAGACUUGCAGGUGCCCAGUCCUGCAGAGAAAUCAUGGUUGUUACUCAGGGUGCCGUAGCACAAGACCUGGUCUAAAAAUGAGAAUCAUGGGAUUCCACCUCAGCACAGGUGAAGGUGAGAGGCUUAACACCUGAGGUGGGUGCAGUCCAAGAGAUCAUUGAGGGCUCCAGGCCCUGUAACUGUGACAGGGAGUUUUGUAGCUUUUCAGGUAAAAAAAUUUCAAAGCUCUGUUGUGUUGUCUGAAACAUAUGGCUCUUAAGCCACAUAUUUAGUG